rnacentral:rRNA from 1 species
GAUCCUGGCUCAGGAUGAACGCUAGCGGCAGGCUUAACACAUGCAAGUCGAGGGGCAGCAUAAUGGAUAGCAAUAUCUAUGGUGGCGACCGGCGCACGGGUGCGUAACGCGCAUGCAACCUACCUUUAACAGGGGGAUAACACUGAGAAAUUGGUACUAAUACCCCAUAAUAUCAAAUAGAAGGCAUCUUUUAUGGUUGAAAAUUCCGAUGGUUAGAGAUGGGCAUGCGUUGUA